rnacentral:rRNA from 1 species
GACGGAGGGCGCAAGCGUUGUUCGGAAUUACUGGGCGUAAAGCGCGGGCAGGUGGUCUGUUAAGUCGUUUGUGAAAAUCCGGGGCUCAACCCCGUGAAAUGCGUACGAUACUGGCAGGCUGGAGAUCGGUAGAGGCUAGCGGAAUUCCUGGUGUAGCGGUGGAAUGCGUAGAGAUCAGGAAGAACACCCGUGGCGAAGGCGGCUAGCUGGGCCGAGUCUGACACUCAUCCGCGAAAGCGUGGGGAGCAAACAGG